CCUACGGGAGGCAGCAGUGAGGAAUAUUGGUCAAUGGCCGAGAGUCUGAACCAGCCAAGUCGCGUGAAGGAUGACUGCCCUAUGGGUUGUAAACUUCUUUUAUAUGGGAAUAAAAUGUUCCACGUGUGGGUUUUUGUAUGUACCAUAUGAAUAAGGAUCGGCUAACUCCGUGCCAGCAGCCGCGGUAAUACGGAGGAUCCGAGCGUUAUCCGGAUUUAUUGGGUUUAAAGGGAGCGUAGGUGGAUUGUUAAGUCAGUUGUGAAAGUCUGCGGCUCAACCGUAGAAUUGCAGUUGAAACUGGCAGUCUUGAGUACAGGAGAGGUGGGCGGAAUGCGUGGUGUAGCGGUGAAAUGCUUAGAUAUCACGAAGAACUCCGAUUGCGAAGGCAGCUCACUGGACUGCAACUGACACUGAGGCUCGAAAGUGUGGGUAUCAAACAGGAUUAGAUACCCGAGUAGUC
rnacentral:rRNA from 1 species